rnacentral:rRNA from 1 species
GAUGAACGCUGGCGGCGUGCCUAAUACAUGCAAGUCGAGCGAAUGAUGAGGAGCUUGCUCCUCUGAUUUAGCGGCGGACGGGUGAGUAACACGUGGGUAAUCUGCCUGUAAGACGGGGAUAACUCCGGGAAACCGGGGCUAAUACCGGAUAAUAAGAAGAAACGCAUGUUUCUUUUUUGAAAGUCGGUUUCGGCUGACACUUACAGAUGAGCCCGCGGCGCAUUAGCUAGUUGGUGAGGUAACGGCUCACCAAGGCGACGAUGCGUAGCCGACCUGAGAGGGUGAUCGGCCACACUGGGACUGAGACACGGCCCAGACUCCUACGGGAGGCAGCAGUAGGGAAUCUUCGGCAACGGGCGAAAGCCUGACCGAGCAACGCCGCGUGAGCGAUGAAGGCCUUCGGGUCGUAAAGCUCUGUUGUUAGAGAAGAACAAGUACGAGAGUAACUGCUCGUACCUUGACGGUACCUAACCAGAAAGCCACGGCUAACUACGUGCCAGCAGCCGCAGUAACAC